rnacentral:rRNA from 1 species
UACGAAGGGGGCUAGCGUUGCUCGGAAUCACUGGGCGUAAAGGGUGCGUAGGCGGGUCUUUAAGUCAGGGGUGAAAUCCUGGAGCUCAACUCCAGAACUGCCUUUGAUACUGAAGAUCUUGAGUACGGGAGAGGUGAGUGGAACUGCGAGUGUAGAGGUGAAAUUCGUAGAUAUUCGCAAGAACACCGGUGGCGAAGGCGGUCUGCUGGGCAGUUGCUGACGCUGAUGCGCGACAGCGUGGGGAGCAAACAGG